AGAAGAAGAAGAAGAAGAAGCAGCAGCAGCAUAAAUAUCAGUGCAGUUGCUACACUUCUUUGUCAAAUAUUUAGAGGUUUGAGGAGAUCGAGAUGGCUUUGAGCGCUUCAUCCAGGAAGGAAAGACUCUACAAACUGGUCGCUGUAAGCGUUGGACUACUUUGUAUUCUAUAGGCUGCAGCAAACAUCGGACUGCGUCUUUCUCUUUAUGGUUGCACUGCAAGGAAGCUUGAGUUGGAGGCAAUUCUAAAGAAUUUGACUGAAAAUGGAGAAUAUUUAAAAGAGAAGCUGAGUAACUUUGAUCACUACCUCAAACAGGGAUGGGUGUAUUUUGACCAGAGUUUCUAUUACAUUUCUUCUUCUCAAAUGUCCUGGCAAGACAGCAGAGACGACUGUCUGCAAAAAGGUGCCGACCUGAUAAUAAUCACCAGCAAAGAAGAGCAGGACUUUGCAAGACAAUUCAAAAAACGCAGCUGGAUUGGACUGACUGACACGGAGACAGAAGGGACAUGGAAAUGGGUCGAUGGGACUGAACCGAAAGAAAGGUACUGGACAACUGGGGAGCCCAACAGCUACCAAGGUUCCAAUGAAGACUGUGGAGAAAUUAGGCUCUAUGAAGAUCAACAUAACUGGAAUGAUGUAGAAUGUAGUUACAAAAACUUCUGGAUCUGUGAAAAGGCUUUGGCUCAAUAACUUUGUAUCCAAACCCACCAUACUCAUAAAAAUCAUUAAUCAGUCCAUCAUUGACACAAACAUGUCACUGUAAU